GACACAGGGAUGUACAGCAAACUGAACUAAAACUGUUAAAAAUUAGAACAGCUGGUGUUUGUAUAAUUACCAAGAACCAGAACAAAUGUCUAUAACUGUUAAUACUUCUACUCCAAGUACUCACAGUGGAUAUACU